rnacentral:rRNA from 1 species
CCUACGGGCGGCAGCAGUGGGGAAUAUUGGACAAUGGGGGCAACCCUGAUCCAGCCAUGCCGCGUGUGUGAAGAAGGCCCUCGGGUUGUAAAGCACUUUCAGUGAGGAAGAACGCCUGGUGGUUAAUACCCAUCAGGAAAGACAUCACUCACAGAAGAAGCACCGGCUAACUCCGGUGCCAGCAGCCGCGGUAAUACGGAGGGUGCGAGCGUUAAUCGGAAUUACUGGGCGUAAAGCGCGCGUAGGUGGCUUGAUAAGCCGGUUGUGAAAGCCCCGGGCUCAACCUGGGAACGGCAUCCGGAACUGUCAAGCUAGAGUGCAGGAGAGGAAGGUAGAAUUCCCGGUGUAGCGGUGAAAUGCGUAGAGAUCGGGAGGAAUACCAGUGGCGAAGGCGGCCUUCUGGACUGACACUGACACUGAGGUGCGAAAGCGUGGGUAGCAAACAGGAUUAGAUACCCGUGUAGUC